GAUGAACGCUAGCGGCGGGCUUAAUACAUGCAAGUCAAGGGGUAGCAAUACACCGGCGUACGGGUGCGUAACGCGUAUGGAACCUGCCCUUAUCUGGGGGAUAACUCGGGGAAACUCGAGCUAAUACCGCAUAAGAUAGUAGAAUGGCAUCAUUCAGCUAUUAAAGAUUUAUCGGAUAAGGAUGGCCAUGCGUAAGAUUAGAUAGUUGGUGGGGUAACGGCUCACCAAGUCUACGAUCUUUUGGGGCUCUGAGAGGAGAAUCCCCCACACUGGCAAUGAGAUACGGGCCAGACUCCUACGGAAGGCAGCAGUAGGGAAUAUGGGGCAAUGGGCGGAAGCCUGACCCAGCCACGCCGCGUGCAGGAAGAAGGCCCUCUGGGUUGUAAACUGUUUUUGAUUGGGAAGAAAGCAUCUCAUGCGUGGGAUUUUGACGGUACCAAUCGAAUAAGCCACGGCUAACUACGUGCCAGCAGCCGCCGUAACAC
rnacentral:rRNA from 1 species